AUUGAACGCUGGCGGCAGGACUAACACAUGCAAGUCGAGCGAGCGGCGGAAGGGUGAGUAAUGUAUGGGGAUCUGCCUGAUGGAGGGGGAUAACUACGGGAAACGGUGGCUAAUACCGCAUCCUAUCGGAUGAACCCCUAUGGGAUUAGCUCGUAGGUGUGGUAAAGGCUCACCGAGGCGACGAUCUCUAGCUGGUCUGAGAGGAUGAUACUCCCCACUGGGACUGAGAACCGUCCCGUACGCUGACGGGAGGCAGCAGGGGGGAAUAUGGCAAAAUGGGCGAAAGCCUUAUGCCGCAAUGCCGCUUGUAUGAAGAAGGCCUUAGGGUUGUAAAGUACUUUCAGCGGGGAGGCGGUACCCGCAGAAGAAGCAACGGCUAACUCCGGGCCAGCAGCCGCGGUAAUAC
rnacentral:rRNA from 1 species